UACGUAGGUGGCGAGCGUUAUCCGGAUUUACUGGGUGUAAAGGGCGUGUAGGCGGGAGAGCAAGUCAGAUGUGAAAACUACAGGCUUAACCUGUAGCCUGCAUUUGAAACUGUUCUUCUUGAGUGAUGGAGAGGCAGGCGGAAUUCCUAGUGUAGCGGUGAAAUGCUUAGAGAUCAUACAGAACACCGAUUGCGAAGGCAGCUUACCAAGCUACUUCUGACGUUGAGGCACGAAAGCGUGGGGAGCAAACAGG
rnacentral:rRNA from 1 species